UUUUCCGGUUGAUCCCGCCGGAGGCCAUUGCUAUCGGAGUCCGAUUUAGCCAUGCUAGUUGCACGGGUUUAGACCCGUGGCGAAAAGCUCAGUAACACGUGGCCAAGCUACCCUGUGGACUGGAAUAACUUCGGGAAACUGAGGACAAUUCCGGAUAACGCUCCCCUAUUGGAAUAUGGGGAGCCGGAAACGUUCAGGCGCCACAGGAUGCGGCUGCGGCCGAUUAGGUUGACGGUGGGGUAACGGCCCACCGUGCCCAUAAUCGGUACGGGUUGUGAGAGCAAGAGCCCGGAGACGGAAUCUGAGACAAGAUUCCGGGCCCUACGGGGCGCAGCAGGCGCGAAACCUUUACACUGCACGCCAGUGCGAUAAGGGGACUCCAAGUGCGAGGGCAUAUCGUCCUCGCUAUCCUGUACUGUAGGGUAGUACAGUAUCAAGAGCUGGGCAAGACCGGUGCCAGCCGCCGCGGUAAUACCGGCAGCUCGAGUGAUGGCCGAUCUUAUUGGGCCUAAAGCGUCCGUAGCUGGCCUCGCAAGUCCGUCGGGAAAUCCAUCAGCUCAACUGAUGGGCGUCCGGCGGAAACUACAAGGCUUGGGACCGGAAGGCUCGAGGGGUACGUCCGGGGUAGGAGUGAAAUCCCGUAAUCCCGAACGGACCACCGAUGGCGAAAGCACCUCGAGAAGACGGCUCCGACAGUGAGGGACGAAAGCUAGGGUCUCGAACCGGAUUAGAUACCCGGGUAGUCCUAGCCGUAAACGAUGUUCGCUAGGUGUGGCACUCGCUACGAGCGAGUGCUGUGCCGUAGGGAAGCCGAGAAGCGAACCGCCUGGGAAGUACGUCUGCAAGGAUGAAACUUAAAGGAAUUGGCGGGGGAGCACUACAACCGGAGGAGCCUGCGGUUUAAUUGGACUCAACGCCGGACAUCUCACCAGCUCCGACUACAGUGAUGACGAUCAGGUUGACGACCUCGUCACGAUGCUGUAAAAGAGGAGGUGCAUGGCCGCCGUCAGCUCGUACCGUGAGGCGUCCUGUUAAGUCAGGCAACGAGCG
rnacentral:rRNA from 1 species